rnacentral:tRNA from 4 species
GGAUGUAGCCAAGUGGAUCAAGGCAGUGGAUUGUGAAUCC